GCCAGCAUUGAGCCUCAGAGGGCUGGAACAGGCUAGGCAGGUCAGAGCUCAUUACCAGCUAACUGCACAGCAUUGAGCCUCAGAGGGCUGGAACAGGCUAGGCAGGUCAGAGCUCAUUACCAGCUAACUGCACAGCAUUGAGCCUCAGAGGGCUGGAACAGGCUAGGCAGGUCAGAGCUCAUUACCAGCUAACUGCACAGCAGGCUGACCACAGGGGUCUAUAUAGGGGGUCUAUAUAUGUCUCUCAGUGUGACCAUGCCAAACUCUCCAUCACAACAGCCACCAGGCUAGUUAGGAAAAACAAGUUAUUUUGAUACAGGAAGGAAUCAACAGGAUCAUUGAUUCUGACUGGAGAUUAGAUGCUUUUCUUAUGAUUUUAAAGUUCAUAUGAUUGUUGCCCUUGUUGAGACAUUUCCUCUUUAAUUUGUGAUCUAUUUUUGAUGAAUAAAUAAUUUUAUUAUUA